rnacentral:rRNA from 1 species
ACUCAAAUGAAUUGACGGGGACCCGCACAAGCAGCGGAGCAUGUGGUUUAAUUCGACGCAACGCGAAGAACCUUACCUGGGCUUGACAUGUGCCUGACAGGUGUGGAAACACACCCUCCCUUCGGGGCAGGUUCACAGGUGGUGCAUGGCUGUCGUCAGCUCGUGUCGUGAGAUGUUGGGUUAAGUCCCGCAACGAGCGCAACCCCCGUCGUAUGUUGCCAGCAUUUAGUUGGGGACUCAUGCGAGACUGCCGGUGACAAACCGGAGGAAGGUGGGGAUGACGUCAAGUCAUCAUGCCCCUUAUGUUCAGGGCUACACACGUGCUACAUUGGCGUAUACAGAGGGCUGCUAAGCCGCGAGGUGGAGCGAAUCCCUUAAAGUACGUCUCGGUUCGGAUUGUAGGCUGAAACCCGCCUACAUGAAGGUGGAGUUGCUAGUAAUCGUGGAUCAGCAUUGCCACGGUGAAUACGUUCCCGGGUCUUGUACACACCGCCCGU